UACGUAGGGGGCAAGCGUUGUCCGGAAUCAUUGGGCGUAAAGAGCGUGUAGGCGGCCAGAUAAGUCCGCUGUGAAAUCUCGAGGCUCAACUUCGAGCUGUCGGUGGAAACUGUCUGGCUAGAGUCCGGAAGAGGCGAGUGGAAUUCCUGGUGUAGCGGUGAAAUGCGCAGAUAUCAGGAGGAACACCGAUGGCGAAGGCAGCUCGCUGGGACGGUACUGACGCUGAGGCGCGAAAGCGUGGGGAGCAAACAGG
rnacentral:rRNA from 1 species